GAUGAACGUUGGCGGCGUGCCUAACACAUGCAAGUCGAACGGGAGCCAUUAAACUCGUUUAAUGGUGAGAGUGGCGAACGGGUGAGUAACACGUAGCUAACCUGCCCUCAAGAGGGGGAUAACCAGUGGAAACAGUGGCUAAUACCCCAUAAGCUCACAGUGAGUAAGUAGCAGUGAGAAAAGUUCAGGCGCUUGAGGAGGGGGCUGCGGUCCAUCAGCUAGAUGGUGGGGUAAAAGCCUACCAUGGCAACGACGGAUAGGGGACCUGAGAGGGUGACCCCCCACACUGGGACUGAGACACGGCCCAGACUCCUACGGGAGGCAGCAGUGAGGAAUAUUGCACAAUGGGCGCAAGCCUGAUGCAGCGACGCCGCGUGGGCGAUGAAGGCCUUCGGGUCGUAAAGCCCUUUUCUGCGUGACGAGGAAGGACGGUAGCGCAGGAAUAAGUGUCGGCUAACUACGUGCCAGCAGCCGCGGUAAAACGUAGGACGCAAACGUUAUCCGGAAUUACUGGGCGUAAAGCGCGUGUAGGCGGAAGCGCAUGUCGGAUAUGAAAGCUCCUGGCUAAACUGGGAGAGGUUGUUCGAGACUGCGUUCU
rnacentral:rRNA from 1 species